UGUUGUAAAGUAACAAUUCCUUUUGCUUUGCGGUUGCCCAAACAGGGCUUGUUUGGGAAGUCCAUUACCCAGAAUUCUCAGCACAUGGCCAAGCUUAGGCACCCGGACUGAAAACUGUUUAACUUCCCCUGGAUGGACUUGCUGCUGUUCCGUGACUCUGAUUCUGAGAGGAACAAGCUUAAAACUUAAGGAACAAGUUAGGCAGCUUCACCGUGUCAGUCUUUUACUGUACAAAAUUCAGCAAAGAAAAGAAGAUGGUGGUAGUUGUGUCCCCAACACUUUGUCCACUAGCCCUGAGGGUGCUCACCUGGAAAACUAAAUCGCUCUUCUGCUUGAUUUGGAGCAGGAAUUUUAACCUGAAUUUCUUACAACCCUGGGGAACGCUCUAGUCACCAAGCUACUGGACAAAAGGAGUAUACCACCUUAACACUGUCCUUUGUACAAGAAAAACAAAGAAUAUUCACAAUAUAAACUACUCCUAUAACUGCACAGCGAAAUUCUGUUGAUUAAGAAAAAAAAUAGAUAAAAUGGGCAAGAAUUCAUGUUUGGCAUGAGAAGAAAAAGUGAUAUACAGCUUACAACAUAAACAAGGAAAGGAAAUGCCAGAGCUACUUUUUGUCAAGCCCAAAUGAAAGGAGCAAUGAUCCAUCAAUUUAAGAUAAUUUCAGAAAGAAUCUGUAACCCAGUGCUGCAGAUGUUGAAACCGUGUCCAAAAAAGGUGAGCUGUAUGCUGUUUUUGCUCAGUUUUUUCUUGCAAAUAGUGAGUUGAAUUCCCAACUCAAAGACUGUUUCAAGUUCUUUAAGAUCACAAGCCACAAGAUAGUUGUACUGAAAAAAAAGAUCUCAUUAUUAAUAAUAAUGAAAAGAAAUUAAAGAUGGAUUAAAACUACAUAAGUAUCUGAUAGAAGGGCUCUAAUAUCAAUGACAGAUAUAUAAGCAAAAAUACUUAUUUAAUUUGUGCUUUGGCUGUUGCCACGGUAACUGGAAACAGACGCUAUGUAACUGAGUGCAGGACAACUAUACUCCUCCUGUGGUCAUUAUACACUGAGCUUGGCUCUCCAGUCCUCUCUAAACGUACAGUUCUCAGACACUUAGCUGUGAAAUCAUGAUUGAGUUUGAAGCUGGAGAUGGCAAGUCUUCCAAAAGCUGACUGCUGGUAAAUGCACUUCAGUGCUUUCUACUCUUUGUGAGCAACUGAAGAACAGGAAAAUAGAUCCUACUGGUGACACUGCUUCUCAAUCACUUUAAGGCCUAAAACUGUUCACAGUACCCCUUCUUUUCCCCUCAGCCCCACCAAAAAAAAAAUGUUAAGGUAAAUCCAUUAAAUGUUGAUACAGGAAAUAUUUGAUAAAAGUAA